CUCGUAGGCGGUUCGUCGCGUCCGGUGUGAAAGUCCAUCGCUUAACGGUGGAUCCGCGCCGGGUACGGGCGGGCUUGAGUGCGGUAGGGGAGACUGGAAUUCCCGGUGUAACGGUGGAAUGUGUAGAUAUUAGGAGGAACACCAGUGGCGAAGGCGGCUUUCUGGACUGUAACUGACACUGAGGCUCGAAAGCCAGGGGAGCGAACG
rnacentral:rRNA from 1 species